GUAGGGGGCGAGCGUUUAUCCGGAAUCACUGGGCGUAAAGGGCGUCUAGGCGGCGGCCUAAGUCUCGCGUGAAAGCUCCCGGCUCAACUGGGAGAGGGCGCGGGAAACUGGGUGGCUCGAGACUCGGAGGGGGGUGUGGAAUUCCCGGUGGAGUGGUGAUAUGCGUUGAGAUCGGGAGGAACACCUGUGGCGAAGGCGGCACCCUGGCCGAGAUCUGACGCUGAAGCGCGACAGCGUGGGGAGCAAACGGGAUUAGAUACCCCGGGUAGUCCACGCCGUAAACGAUGACCACUAGGUGUCGGGUGUUUAAGGACGUUCGGUGCCCGCAGCUAACGCGAUAAGUGGUCCGCCUGGGGAGUACGGCCGCAAGGCUA
rnacentral:rRNA from 1 species